GAAUUUUCUGGCUGGGCGCGGUGGCUCAUGACUGUAAUCCCAGCACUUUGGGAGGCCGAGGAGGGUGGAUCACGAGGUCAAGAGAUCGAGACCAACCUGGUCAACAUGGUGAAACCCCGUCUCUACUAAAAAUACAAAAAAUUAGCUGGGCAUGGUGGCGCGUGCCUGUAAUCCCAGCUUCUCGGGAGGCUGAGGCAGGAGAAUUGCCUGAACCCAGGAGGCGGAGGCUGCGGUGAGCCGAGAUCGCGCCAUUGCCCUCCAGCCUGGGUCACAAGGGCGAAAACUCCGUUUCAAAAAAGAAAGAAAGAAAGAAUUUUCUAUUUCCUGAAACUAUGGAAACUCAUUACAACAAAAUCCAGGCAUGAUUAGGAAGCCUCAGCAAGGUCAUGGUCAUGACUCUGUUAAGCACGUUUCAGAACGGGGCUGUCGGAAGCAUCCAGACCACACCCGCAUCUCCAGUAGCAAAGACCUCCUCAGUUUCCCACAGAGAGAAUUCCACAAACAGGACCCUUACUGGGCUCAGCAGGGUCUCAUUUUGUCACCCGGGCUGGAGUGCAGUGACAGAAACAUGGCUCCUGAGCUCAAGCUUUCCCCCACCUCAGCCUCCUGUGUAGCUGGGACCACAGGUGUGCGCCAUCACCCAGAGAAGUUACAGAUAAGUCACCCUUUGAGGAACUCGGG
rnacentral:lncRNA from 13 species